rnacentral:tRNA from 1 species
GGGGGUGUAGCUCAGCUUGGGAGAGCGCCUGCCUUGCAAGCAGGAGGUCGGCGGUUCGAUCCCGCUCACCUCCA